GUUGCUUAUUUGUGUUUUUGUGUAAAUCGGUCUCUCUCUCACGUGAGUGACGCAUAUGAACGAAAAUAAAACGUCCUCCUCGCUGCGACGCGAAACUUAAAUGCGACCCGGAACCGGAAACUAGCCUUUGCUUGCCUUGAGGUCUUGUUUGCUAUUUUUGUUUUGCCCGAUUCGAACACGUUAGCUUCGUUAUCUUAGCUCCGUUAGCGCUAAGUUAGGCAUUUUUUUUGUAUUGUUUACGUGCGCAGUCGACGAUCACAACGAAGGAAUGUUGCCUCCACGUCGGUUGCUGAAAAAGUGGCGACCUGUAGUGCAAAGGCUGGAGGAGGGAUGAACACUGCUGCCGCAGACUCAAGUGUUCAGCACAUGGGUGGAUCUGCACUACAAUGAUGGAAACCUGCUUUUGGAAAG